rnacentral:rRNA from 1 species
UACGUAGGGCGCAAGCGUUAUCCGGAAUUAUUGGGCGUAAAGAGCUCGUAGGCGGUUUGUUGCGUCGGCUGUGAAAUCCCGAGGCUCAACCUCGGGUCUGCAGUCGAUACGAGCAAACUAGAGUGUUGCAGGGGAGACUGGAAUUCCUGGUGUGGCGGUGAAAUGCGCAGAUAUCAGGAGGAACACCGGUGGCGAAGGCGGCAUCCGUGGGACCGGCAUUGACGCUGAGGCGCGAAAGCCAGGGGAGCAACGGG